rnacentral:rRNA from 1 species
GAUGAACGCUGGCGGCGUGCCUAUACAUGCAAGUCGAGCGAAUGGAUUAAGAGCUUGCUCUUAUGAAGUUAGCGGCGGACGGGUGAGUAACACGUGGGUAACCUGCCCAUAAGACUGGGAUAACUCCGGGAAACCGGGGCUAAUACCGGAUAACAUUUUGAACCGCAUGGUUCGAAAUUGAAAGGCGGCUUCGGCUGUCACUUAUGGAUGGACCCGCGUCGCAUUAGUUAGUUGGUGAGGUAACGGCUCACCAAGGCAACGACGCGUAGCCGACCUGGGAGGGUGAUCGGCCACACUGGGACUGGGACACGGCCCAGACUCCUACGGGAGGCAGCAGUAGGGAAUCUUCCGCAAUGGACGAAAGUCUGACGGAGCAACGCCGCGUGAGUGAUGAAGGCUUUCGGGUCGUAAAACUCUGUUGUUAGGGAAGAACAAGUGCUAGUUGAAUAAGCUGGCACCUUGACGGUACCUAACCAGAAAGCCACGGCUAACUACGUGCCAGCAGCCGCAGUAA